UUCAACUUGAGAGUUUGAUCCUGGCUCAGAGCGAACGCUGGCGGCAGGCUUAACACAUGCAAGUCGAGCGGGCAUCCUCGUGGUGUCAGCGGCAGACGGGUGAGUAACACGUGGGAACGUGCCCUUCGGUUCGGAAUAACUCAGGGAAACUUGAGCUAAUACCGGAUACGC
rnacentral:rRNA from 1 species